CAUAGGUGGCGAAAAUAGUACAGGCGUAUACGUAAUAGUUCAGCAGUCUGAAUCAGUUUGAAAAUUUUGCACUAAGAAAUCGCCAUAAUCCAAUAAUCUAAACUUCCAAAUAUUUUGUUACUACUUCUUGGAUUAAUAAUCAUUACCCGUUUAAAUUUUAGAAAUACUAAAUAUGGCUUGGGUAGGGGAUGGGGGGCCCAGAACCACCACUUUUCCCCAGGGUAAAUUUUGUAAUUCUUCCAAAACUGUAGAAAAACUAGGCGGGCGGGUGGGGGGGGGGGGAAUGGCGGGGCGUAAACUUGUAAUCUCUGACAUAAAAUAUACCAAGUCUGUGCCUUUCAGGUUAUCAUAAAACGCGCGUACGUGUCUAAAAUGCAUGAAAUAAAGUUUCACGGACCUUAAAAACAGAAAUGUUUUGUUUCUGUGUAUUUGAAGAUUUAGACCCCCUACUCAUUCGAGACUGGCUACGCGCCUGAAAAUGGCUAAAUCUCGGUUCAAAACGCGAACAAUAAGAUUUGGCUAGCAUAAAAUCUAAAAAUACGGGUGUUUAAUUUACCCUAUACUUGUCUAUAAAUGUGUAAAAAAUCGACUUGCGAAGCAGCUUUACCCACAACACACCAUUAUCGAAUAU